GAAAAGAUGCAGAGAGGAUACAGUAAGAGGCUGCAGAUUUGUCUUAGUACUUAAAACAUAAUUACUGCUCACCAGACUUUGUUUUGGCUUAAUUUUUAAAUGUUCUUAUAAUGUCCGUCAGGAGGGGAGUAACAAGCUCUGCGUUUAGUGUGCAGAAAUCACUGCAUAAAGAAGAUCAGCAACAGUGAAAGAGCCGGAAAAGAUCAGUAUGCAGACAGACAGUGUAAGUCCUCAGCAGUCCUGCAUCUGUUUCUGGCAACAGAUCUGAUGUGAUUUGAUCCAAGUUCAGUAAUCAACUGGGUAAAAUAUAGUGGAGAUUUUUUUUUUUCUGUUGAAAGGUUGGCAUUGCUGAGUGCCAUGCUGUGUUAGUGAGUUUUGCUCCAUGUUGGACUGAGGUGAAUUUCCAUCUCCUCACAUCAGUGACAUGGCAGCAGAGAAGACAAGUUAAUUUCCUUACUGACAUCAGACUUAAUGUAGAACCAAAACAUAUCAUCAGUAAAUAAGGAUACAGGAUACAGGACAUUAUAUUUGUUUUUGUGAAUAGUACAUUUCAUUGCAUCACAUCUGAUGCUUGAAUUUAGCUUGAAUUUUUUCAUUGGCUUUCAGUAGAAAGAUUGCUUGCACACUUUACUGAAAUAUUGAAAAUUAUUAAAGAAUCUGUUUUAUUUUUUAUUCUAUCUGCAUCAUCUUUUAACUCAAGUUUUAAACUUACUCUUACUGUAAGGCAUUUUCUAAUCUUUGAUUUCUGUUUAUUUGUUUCUUUAUUCAUGUUGUGCUAUUGUUGCUGUCUAGCUGCCUGGUCAAUUGUUUUUUUUUGUUUUUUUUUCAAUAUUUUUUAUAUUUUGUUACAUCCUUGUGGUUGGGACUUUGUGGUUACUCUAUUCUAUUUAGUUUCAUUAUUUUUGUUUAUCAGUUCUGAAGAAAUCUGUCUGGCUUUUUCGCUCAAUCUUGCAAGUUUGUAACUUUAUUUUGAAAAUGUUACGUAAACAAUGGUAUCUGUAUUUGAAGAAUGACAGUACAGCAUCAAAAUGUACUUGACUGUACACAAAUAAAGGAAGCAAAGCAAUAAAGGCACAAAAAAUGCAUGUGAAGAGUUUGUUUUCCACAACAUACAUAUAGCAAAUAAAAUACUUUGUUUUUUAAUAAUAGUAUUUUUUUUUUACAGCAAAUUGUUUUUACAAUGAAUUUAUAUGCAUGUUUCACAUUCUACCAAGUUUUGGCUGAAAACUGCAAGCAUAUGGACAUUUGUUAUAACUGAGGCCCAUUACAUGUGCAGCCAAGCAGCUGUUUAAUAUUCAAAUCUAGGUUUCCAGAAGAGGUUACACAGUACAUUUAAAAAAAAAAAAAAAAACUCAUCCCAGAUGUAUGCAGAGGAAUUUGCUAAUUGAGAGGCCAGGGCCAGCUCAGAGUGGGCUUCACAUCGACUCAAAGUGUGAAUAAAGACAUCAAUUAACUUACUAAUACAGUAUUCAGUCUCAAUUAUUUUUCAUUGGAAACCAACUCAAGUCAAAUGCCUUUUAAUAUUCAAUUAGACAUUAAGUUGAAAAUGAUCUAAACCCAGGCAUGGUGGAGACACACUGAGGGAGUUACUGUGCUGUUGAUGACCAACCGAGUAGUGAAGGCAAAGUUCAGCCAGGAGUCAGCGAAAAAGUCAUCUGACAAACUAACUGACACUGCAAUUCACACAGUUUGUCAAGACACACACCCAAACAACACUUGCGCGCGCGCACGCACACACACACACACACACACACACACACACACACACACACACACACACACACACAGAUUUAGGGAAUAAAAGGUGGAAUGGAGUUCUUCAAAAGGCAGGCUUCUGUCAGGCAGCGAUAAGCGAGUGGAGCCCCUCUGUGUUAGAGGGGGAACAGACAGGAGCAAUCGCUGACAGAUGAGAGCGAUGGAGAGCGCUUUGAAGAGCAGUUAGCAAAAGAAAGGAGGGGACAAAAAAAGAAGAGAAACAGAAACAAAAGAAACAAAUGAAAUUAUGGAGGCGUAUACAGGACUAUAUUCAGCGGCUCCGACCAGGACUAUGACUCCGACAACGAAGACAUUGCGGGUUCAGGUGGGGACAGGAGGGGCGUCAAGCAGCAGAGGAGCGAGAGAGAGGUCGGGUGUCAGCCCGUGCCCACCUGUAAAUCACCUCCGUACUGUAUUCCAUGUCAGCCCUGAAAACAUCCUCCUCUAGGAGGUCCAAAGCUCAGAGUCAGCUAAUAGGACUGCUAACUAGUUAAGCAGCAGUUUGGGGUUACUUAGCAACAAGUAAAGCUAUCUGUCCAUCAGGAAACUCCGUAAAUCACCGAGAGUUGAGGCAGAGCAGCCGGAGGACAUCAGAGGGAAAACCAGAAAAUUUUUUCUCCAUAAAAUAUGAUCUCUGUGAUGUUGCAAAUGCCUGGAGCUGCAUUUGAAUAUUGUCCACUGUACAGCAGGUUACAACUUUAUUGUAUUAUUGUAUUCAAUUAAACGUCAAACAGCUUUUCCAUUUUUAUUUAAAUAUAGUCAUAGAAUGCCUAUACAAGAAAAUUAAUGCGAAAAUGAAAAUGAGAAUUGGAUUAUUGCAUUUUCAUUUUUACUCAAAUAAAACAUACAAACGUGGAAAAUUAUAGUGCUAUUGUGGAAUUACAUUUUCAUUUUCAAGUUUACAUUAUCAAGAAACAUUUUGAUGGACAUCACUGUAAAGACUGAAAGCUAUAUACACAGACAGGAUUAGCCUAAUUAAAAACACUUAUUAGAGGGAAAGGGUUGUGCAUGCACAACAGAGAUAUACUGUAUAUUCAUAUAUAACAAAAUAAAGCCAGGGAACACAAUAUGUCACACACUAAAACAAACCUCUGUUUGAGUCUUUUAUACAUACAGCAACACAAGCCAGAGUACAACCCUCUCCACAGCUCUCAGUGGUAUCUCUGACACCUCAGCUCUCUGUGAUAAACUGUCUCAGAGUGUCACAUAGGUACAUGUUACACUCACAAGCAUGCCAUCUCCACUAAGCUUCACAAACACACACACACACACACACACACA